UAGUUAAAAUGUUUUCAUUUUCGGUUUUAUACUAAAGACAUCAAAAAGAUAAAAAAAAAAUGAACCAAGAGAUGAAUCUAAGUAAACAAGCAUUAAUUAAAUUUAUCUUAAUGAAUUCCUUGACUAAUUUACAUGCAUUUUAAGCGAAAUUCACACAUUGUCUUUGCCAUGAUUAAGAUGGCAUCAAUUGUCGCAACACGUCAAUCGAAUUUAAUGAGCAAAAAACUCUCGUUCGCUGUGUCGCAUCUUCAAGGUGUAUUCGCUUGUUGUAUGUACGUGCUGCAAAAUGAGAUAAAUUCUAAUUAAAGCUAAAGAAACUAGCACUAAUUACAAUUUGUGCCGUCGCCCUAUACAAAUGCAAAUGCAGACAGACAGUAGUCGCAAAGAGUUCCUAAAAACCAAAUACAAUUUCGAUGAAACGAAGGCGAAAUAACACAAAAACAAGAAAGCGAACAAAAUGAUGAAGCACUGAAAUAGAUUAGGCGAAAUAUACAAAGACAGGCAGAGAGAGAGAGAGAGACAGAGAGAGAGAGCGACUCUGUCUGUAGCCUAACUAUGCAAUCCAUUCUAGAUACUAUUUGCUUGUUGGAUCUCAAGAUGUAUCUGCAUCUUUUGCCGCCUCUGUGUAGCUGUAUUCAAAAAUAGAUUUCGUUGUCGCGACGUCGCGCGUUUUCAACGCGUCUUUGGUCGCGUCAAUUGCGCGUCAUCGCCUCGACGAGUAUAUAAGAUCAUGAGCAGAACAAAUACUAUUUAUAUAUACUAUUAGAUAUAAUGAAUACACAGUAUAUACAGUAUAUACCAUAUAUCAAAGUAUAUAAGGGCCUUCUGGCGACAGUUCUGCGCAAUUUUCGGUCUAUGCCUUUCGCUUGUCGAUCUUCGGUCGCGUCAAGUGUGUCCGAAAAUAGCAAGCGAUGCGCUAAAGGAGCCUCGUUUUGGCCAAUUGGCGGCGACGGCCGCUGCAACGAAGUCUAAGGCCUGACCAACCAAAGACAACACGGCGCAGCGGAUGAAAGUCUCGAGUUGGCUGAGAGCAGUGCAGUGCACUUGGCAAACUUACAAGAGUUGCACAACAAAGUCGCACACACACAUACACACAUGCACAACCUCACAGUCGCAUACACACACUCGCACACAAACACACGGACUUGGGCAGAUUGCUGUGCUCACACGCGCAUGAGAAGUAAAACGUUGAUGAUAAAUCACGCAUACGCCUGUUGGCCCGGCAGACAACACUACAAGUUCGUGCUCGUGUGCCACGUGUAUGUGUGUGCAUCUGUGUCGGUGUGAGUGACACGACUUGCAGUGUUCCUCGGCUUGUUUUGCCAACUGCAGUGCAGUCUGCUCGCUUAUAGCCACAACUCGGACGAGUCGGCCGGCAGGCAAUUGGCACGAACGAUGCCUCCUUUGGCUACCACACAAGGCAACGCGACAUUGGAUAACAGCACGACGACCAAUCAGAAGCGGCGGCCAACCAGACACAGCCGAAGCUGAAACCCGUGAGCCGAAGUUAACGUGGCCAACGAUGCCAACUAACCCAAACUGGUGACAUUUUGUACAUAGUAUAUGCAAGCAAAAUUAUUAAAUUUAGUUCAGUUUGUAAGAGUCUCAACUAAUUGUAAGUCACAUGCCGGAAGCGUUAGCCCACAGAAUAACAACUUAUGUGGGCAGUAAUAUGAAUGAAUACGAAUACUUAAUAUUCUUAAGAACAUGAAACGAAGAUUGCAAAAUGCGAAAACAUAAAUAAAGGAAACAAAAACCGUAAAGCUCACGAGCCGCACACCCAAAA